rnacentral:rRNA from 1 species
ACGGGGGGUGCAAGCGUUAUUCGGAAUUAUUGGGCGUAAAGGGCGCGUAGGCGGUUUUGUCGGUCAGAUGUGAAAGCCCAGGGCUCAACCCUGGACGUGCAUUUGAAACAGCAAGACUUGAGUACGGGAGAGGAAAGCGGAAUUCCUGGUGUAGAGGUGAAAUUCGUAGAUAUCAGGAGGAACACCGAUGGCGAAGGCAGCUUUCUGGACCGAUACUGACGCUGAGGCGCGAAGGCGUGGGUAGCGAACAGGAUUAGAUACCCUGGUAGUCCACGCAGUAAACGAUGUUCACUCGGUGUAGCGGAUAUUAAAAUCUGCUGCGCCCAAGCUAACGCAUUAAGUGAACCGCCUGGGGAGUACGGUCGCAAGACUA